rnacentral:pre_miRNA from 1 species
GGCCCAGAUUUGAUGUAGAGUAAUUUAGAAGGAUCAUAUGACCCUACUAAACUACUCUACGUUGAGUUUGUGACC